rnacentral:rRNA from 1 species
AUCGAACGCUGGCGGCAGGCCUAACACAUGCAAGUCGAGCGGACGAAGGUGGCUUGUCCCCGGCAGCCGGGGCGGUCAGGCGUGUAAUGGUUAGGUACGUGCCUGAAUGACUCGGAUAACGUUCGGCUAAUGGCGCUUACACCCCAUACGGCCAGGGGGUGCUAGCGAGGGAUCUUCGCACCUCUCGCUAUCUGAUUAGCCUAGGUCGGAUUAGCUAGUUGGGGGGGUAAAGGCCUACCAAGGCGACGAUCCGUAACUGGUCUGAGAGGAUGAUCAGUCACACUGGAACUGAGACACGGUCCAGACUCCUACGGGAGGCAGCAGUGGGGAAUAUUGGGCAAUGGGCGAAAGCCUGAUCCAGCCAUGCCGCGUGUGUGAAGAAGGUCUUCGGAUUGUAAAGCACUUUAAGUUGGGAGGAAGGGCAGUAAGUUAAUACCUUGCUGUUUUGACGUUACCAACAGAAUAAGCACCGGCUAACUUCGUG